rnacentral:lncRNA from 1 species
UCUUACCUUUAUGAAAAUUGACUCUUAUCCAUGGAACAAAUGUGUAGUGCAACUUGAGCCCAUGAUUCAAUUUCUCUAUGUAUGUGACAUUAACUCCACUAACACUCCAACAAAUUCACAACUAUUAGAUGCUACCGAAAUCAACAAAUUCUCUCUUUAUGGGCAAUCUUUCUUAAAAUGAUCUCUUUUAUGGCAGUUGUAACACUUUGGCACCUUUUGUAUUGUAUCUUCUAAUAAUUUCUUUUACAUCUUUCAUUUUUCUCCCUCC